GGCGACGGGUGAGCAACACGUGACUAACUGCCUCGAGUGGGGAAUAACUCCGGGAAACCGGAGCUAAUACCGCAUAACAUCGCAAGAUCAAAGCAGCAAUGCGCUUGAGGAGGGGGUCGCGGCUGAUUAGCUAGUUGGUAAGGUAAUGGCCUACCAAGGCAAAGAUCGGUAUCCGGCCUGAGAGGGCGCACGGACACACUGGAACUGAAACACGGUCCAGACUCCUACGGGAGGCAGAA
rnacentral:rRNA from 1 species